UGGUGGCCUUGCACAUGGCCGCGCGCGCGGUCGCCUCGGGCGAGUGCGAGAUGGCGCUCGCGGGCGCCGCGUCGUUCAGCGUCGACGGGCUGCCCG
rnacentral:tRNA from 1 species